AGCGAACGCUGGCGGCAGGCCUAACACAUGCAAGUCGAGCGCCCCGCAAGGGGAGCGGCAGACGGGAGAGUAACACGUGGGAACGUACCCUUUGGUUCGGAACAACCCAGGGAAACUUGGGCUAAUACCGAAUAAGCCCUUACGGGGAAAGAUUUAUCGCCGAAGGAUCGGCCCACGUCUGAUUAGCUAGUUGGUGAGGUAACGGCUCACCAAGGCGACGAUCAGUAGCUGGUCUGAGAGGAUGAUCAGCCUCACUGGGACUGAGACACGGCCCAGACUCCUACGGGAGGCAGCAGUGGGGAAUAUCGGACAAUGGGCGCAAGCCUGAUCCAGCCAUGCCGCGUGGGUGAUGAAGGCCCUAGGGUUGUAAAGCCCUUUCGGCGGGGAAGAUAAUGACGGUACCCGCAGAAGAAGCCCCGGCUAACUUCGUGCCAGCCGCCGCCGUAA
rnacentral:rRNA from 1 species